rnacentral:rRNA from 1 species
GGGCGUGGCGGCGUGCUAUACAUGCAGUCGAGCGAUGAUUAUAGAUAGCUUGCUAUUUUUAUGAAGAGCGGAGAACGGGUGAGUAACGCGUGGGAAAUCUGCCGAGUAGCGCGGGGACAACGUGUUGGAAACGAACGCUAAUACCGCAUAACAAUGAGAAUCGCAUGAUUCUUAUUUAAAAGAAGCAAUUGCUUCACUACUUGAUGAUCCCGCGUUGUAUUACCUAGUUGGUAGUGUAAAGGACUACCAAGGCGAUGAUACGUAGCCGACCUGAGAGGAUGAUCGGCCACACUGGGACUGAUACACAGCCCAAACUCCUACGGGAGGCAACAGUAGGGAAUCUUCGGCAAUGGGGGCAACCCUGACCGAGCAACACCGCGUGAGUGAAGAAGGUUUUCGAAUCGUAAAACUCUGUUGUUAUAUAAUAACGUUAAGUAAAGUGGAAAAUUACUUAUGUGACGGUAUCUAACCAAAAAGGGACGGCUAACUACGUGCCAUACAGCCGCGGUAAUACGUAGGUCCCAAGCGUUGUCCGGAUUUAUUGGACGUAAAGCGAGCGCAGGUGGUUUCUUAAGUCUGAUGUAAAAGGCAGUGGCUCAACCAUUGCGUGCAUUGAAAACUGGGAGACUUGAGUGCAGGAGAGGAGAGUGGAAUUCCAUGUGUAGCGGUGAAAUGCGUAGAUAUAUGGAGGAACACCGGAGGCGAAAGCGGCUCUCUGGCCUGUAACUGACACUGAGGCUCGAAAGCGUGCGGAGCAAACAGGAUUAGAUACCCUGAUAGUCCACGCCGUAAACGAUGAGUGUAUAGCUGUAGGGAGCUAUAAGUUCUCUGUAGCGCAGCUAACGCAUUAAGCACUCCGCCUGGGGAGUACGACCGCAAGGUUGAAACUCAAAGGAAUGGACGGGGGCCCGCACAAGCGGUGGAGCAUGUGGUUUAAUUGGAAGCAACGGGAAGACCCUUCCCAGGUCUGGACAUACUCGUGCUAUCUAGAGAGAUAAGGAGUUCCUUCGGGACAAGGGAUACAGGUGGUGCAUGGUUGUCGUCAGCUGGUGUCGUGAGAUGUGGGGUUAAGUCCCGCAACGAGCGCAACCCUUAUUUUUAGUUGCCAUCAUUAAGUUGGGCACUUUAGAGAGACUGCGGGGGAUAAACCGGAGGAAGGGGGGGAGGACGUCAAAUCAUCAUGCCCCUUAUGACCUGGGCUACACACGUGCUACAAUGGAUGGUACAACGAGUCGCCAAGUCCGCGAGGGUGCGCUAAUCUCUUAAAACCAUUCUCAGUUCGGAUUGCAGGCUGCAACUCGCCUGCAUGAAGUCGGAAUCGCUAGUAAUCGCGGAUCAGCACGCCGCGGUGAAUACGUUCCCGGGCCUUGUACACACCGCCCGUCACACCACGGAAGUUGGACUACCCAAAGUAGGUGCGUAACCGCAAGGAGGCAGCUCCUAAAGAAGACUCGAUAUGGUG